rnacentral:lncRNA from 7 species
AGGAAUUGAAGGAGAAUUUAUUCAAACGCUCAAAUCAUAUUGACUUGCAAAGCCAGAAGGGAUGACAGGGAAGUAAACAGAACUACUAUUGUUUAUAAAACCUGAAAGGAUAAAGUUGAAAAAAGUGCUAAAGAACAGUAUUUAAUUGAAACAAUCAAAUUUUCCAAAUUGCAAUACUUAAGCAGAGCAGAUAAAUAAACUCAAAAUUUUGUUAUCUAUCCUGUUGACAACUGCACACAGCACGUGUAAAUUGUUCUAGAACAUUUGACUGUAUAUUUUGAAGUCAUAGCCCCCAAACAAUAUGCAGACAAUUAGUUCAGAGUAAAGAAUUGUCUUUGAAUAUGGCUGACAGAUUCAUUUUUAGUCUAUUAACACACCAUCCUUCAGAUCAAACGAGGUCUUGAUAUUAUCUUACCUUAUAAAAAGAAUGAAGAAAAGCUUAGGGAAGCAAAACUAAAGUACCUUGUCUAAGUUUGACAAUCCAGUGUUCUGUUAAGCCACAGUUUGACUGAAGAAAAAUGCGUUCUCUGUUACAUGCAAUACAUUGAAUUAAAAAAAAAUGUUUUGCAGAUAUUUUUGCUGCAUUUUGUUGCAAGCAAGGAAAACAUGCUAAAGCUCCCAGUUUCUAAAGAACUGUGUGACCAGACAUGCAAGCAAGAACCAACCACCAAAUGUUUUAUCAGUCAAUAAGGACUGACAGCAAUUUCAACCUGCCAUGUUUCAUGCUUGGAUAACCACCUAUUUGGCCUUGAGCCAGCACCCCAAUUUAGUAAGCUAUUCCAUUCAAAUUAAUAGCAGUGCUUUGUCUAUUUGAAUUUAAUGCUGGCUUUUAAUUUCGUGCAGGGUUUUUGCUUAUUAGGGAUAAAACUUACCCUAGGCUUAAAGUAUUCAUUGAUAAUCAGAACAGUGACAGGGCACAUCAUAGCAACAGGCAUUUUUAUGUCAGCUAAUUCCAGAGAUGCAAUAAUACAAUCACCAAUGUAAAAUAAAAUGCAGAUGUAAAAAAAUGAAUAAACAAGUGUAUCUUGACAACAUACAAGUUAAUAAAGUAACUAACCACUGAAAAAUCAACCAUAGUAUUUUGAUAACGGAUUUUCCAGUGAAUUCACAGGUAGAUCAUGAAGUAAAUAUAAAAUAAGAUAUGAGAUACAAUGACAUAUCAAAAUGCUCUUAAGUUUGCUUCCCAUUUAAGUCCUGCAAUCACUCAAGGCAGCUUUCCCUGCAUUAAAAGCAGUAGUAGUAAUACAAAUGCAUCUUCUGAAGGGUCACU